rnacentral:rRNA from 1 species
GACGAACGCUGGCGGCGUGCUUAACACAUGCAAGUCGAACGGAAAGGCCUGCUUUCCCUUGUGGAUUGCGGGUACUCGAGCGGCGAACGGGUGAGUAACACGUGAGUGAUCUGCCCCCAACUUGGGUAUAAGCCUGGGAAACUGGGUCUAAUUCCCGAUAGGACUGCAGGGUGGUGCCUGUGGUGGAAAACGAUUUUCUAGUGGUUGGGGAUGAGCUCGCGGCCUAUCAGCUUGUUGGUGGGGUAAUGGCCUACCAAGGCGGCGACGGGUAGCCGGCCUGGGAGGGUGGACGGCCACAUUGGGACUGAGAUACGGCCCAGACUCCUACGGGAGGCAGCAGUGGGGAAUAUUGCACAAUGGGCGGAAGCCUGAUGCAGCGACGCCGCGUGGGGGAUGACGGCCUUCGGGUUGUAAACUCCUUUCGACCGCGAGGAAGCCACCUGGUUGGAAGGGUGGUGACGGUAGUGGUAGAAGAAGCACCGGCUAACUACGUG